UGGGGAACCUGCCCCAUAGUCUGGGAUACCACUUGGAAACAGGUGCUAAUACCGGAUAAGAAAGCGGAUCGCAUGAUCAGCUUUUAAAAGGCGGCGUAAGCUGUCGCUAUGGGAUGGCCCCGCGGUGCAUUAGCUAGUUGGUAAGGUAAAGGCUUACCAAGGCGAUGAUGCAUAGCCGAGUUGAGAGACUGAUCGGCCACAUUGGGACUGAGACACGGCCCAAACUCCUACGGGAGGCAGCAGGC
rnacentral:rRNA from 1 species